rnacentral:rRNA from 1 species
GGCUCAGAACGAACGCUGGUGGCGUGUCUUAUACAUGCAAGUCGAGCGAGGCAGCAAUGCCGAGCGGCGAACGGGUGAGUAACGCGUAAGCAAUCUGCCCCAUAUCAGGAAAUACCCGUGCCAACGCGCGGUUAAUGUCCAGGAGAGUGGCCAGCCGCAUGGCUGGUUGACUAGAGAUUCAUCGGUAUGGGAUGAGCUUGCGUCCGAUUAGCUAGUUGGCGGGGCAACGGCCCACCAAGGCGACGAUCGGUAGCCGGCCUGAGAGGGUGAUCGGCCACAUUGAGACUGAGAUACGGCCCAGACUCCUACGGGAGGCAGCAGUAGGGAAUAUUGCACAAUGGGGGGAACCCUGAUGCAGCAACGCCAACCGUGUGGGAAGAAGCAUUUCGGUGUGUAAACCACUGUCGUGAGGGAAUAAGGCCCAGUUUCGGCUGGGAUUGAAUGUACCUCGAAAGGAAGCACCGGCAAACUUCGUGCCAGCCGCGGC